UACGAAGGGUGCAAGCGUUAAUCGGAAUUACUGGGCGUAAAGCGCACGUAGGCGGCUUGGUAAGUUAGAGGUGAAAGCCUGGAGCUCAACUCCAGAAUUGCCUUUAAGACUGCCGAGCUAGCAGGUGAGAGAGGUGAGUGGAAUUCCGAGUGUAGAGGUGAAAUUCGUAGAUAUUAGGAAGAACACCGGUGGCGAAGGCGGCCCACUGGCUCGACACUGACGCUGAGGUGCGAAAGCGUGGGGAGCAAACAGG
rnacentral:rRNA from 1 species